rnacentral:rRNA from 1 species
GAUGAACGCUGGCGGCGUGCUUAACACAUGCAAGUCGAACGGUCAAGCAAAGCUUGCUCUCUUCUUCAGUGGCGGACGGGUGAGUAACUCGUGAGCAACCUACCCCUGUCUCUGGCUUAAGCACUGUCAACGACGUCUAACAAUGGACAUGUGAUGCGACCGCAUGGUCAGCAGUUGGAAAGAUUGUUCGGUCUGGGAUGGGCUCACGGGCUAUCAGCUUGUUGGGGAGGUAAUGGCACACCAAGGCGUCGACGGGUAGCCGGCCUGAGCGGGGCAACGGCCACACGGGGACUAAGACACGGAGCAGAAGGGUACGGGAGGCAGCAGGGGGGAAUAUUGCACAGUGGGGGAGAGCCUGAUGCAGCGGCGCCGCGUGAGGGAUGACGGCCUUCGGGUUGUAAACCUCUUUGAGCAGGGAAGAAGCGAAAGUGACGGUACCUGAAGAGAAAGCGACGGCUAACUACGUG